rnacentral:rRNA from 1 species
AGAAGGGUAUACGGUGGAUGCCUUGGCGCGUUGCGGCGACGAAGGACGUGGUGAACUGCGAAAAGCCCUGGGGAGUUGUACACAGGCCGAGAGCCAGGGAUAUCCGAAUGGGGC